rnacentral:lncRNA from 1 species
AUAAGGGGUUGUGAACCCACCUGGGGAUGAGGCCUGGUCUUAUGGAAGGUGGACUUAGCUUCGCUGGGCGGACAGCUCUGGCCCAGGGUGUGUUCACCAUGGCAAGCAGAUGGCACCAGGAGAUAUGGAGCCCCUGCCAGUGUGAGUCCGUAGCAGUGCAGGAGGGCUCACCCUGGAGGAGACAGCGGCCUCGGUUGACGCCUACACAGUGAAUUCCAGAGGCUUAGGAAGCGCGUCCCUGCCCUGGGUCCAGGCCUUUCUCAGGAAGCCCUGUGC